rnacentral:rRNA from 1 species
CAAAAGCGUAUAUUAAAGUUGUUGCAGUUAAAAAGCUCGUAGUUGAACCUUGGGCUUGGUUGGCCGGUCCAUCUUUUUGAUGCGUACUGGACCCAACCGAGCCUUUCCUUCUGGCUAGCCUUUUGGCGAACCAGGACUUUUACUUUGAAAAAAUUAGAGUGUUCAAAGCAGGCCUUUGCUCGAAUAUAUUAGCAUGGAAUAAUAGAAUAGGACGUUAUGGUUCUAUUUUGUUGGUUUCUAGGACCAUCGUAAUGAUUAAUAGGGACGGUCGGGGGUAUCAGUAUUCAGUUGUCAGAGGUGAAAUUCUUGGAUUUACUGAAGACUAACUACUGCGAANGNAUUUACNAAGGACGUUUNCAUUA